rnacentral:rRNA from 1 species
GUCCCAGUUCGGAUUGUAGUCUGCAACCCGACUACAUGAAGCUGGAAUCGCUAGUAAUCGCAGGUCAGCAUACUGCGGUGAAUACGUUCCCGGGUCUUGUACACACCGCACGUCACACCAUGGGAGCCGGAAAUGCCCGAAGCCAGUGACCCAACCUUAGGGAGGGAGCUGUCGAAGGUGGAGCCGGUAACUGGGGUGAAGUCGUAACAAGGUACC